AGUCGUUACUGAGAGUACUUGAAAUGCCCGCCAAAAUACUGGAACAUGGUCGAGUGUCGAGGACACGGGUACCCCCGUGUCUUCGUCGAAAUCGUGAUUUAAAUUGUUAUCAGAAUUUAGACUGAAUGUAAAAAAUACAAUAAAUUAUAAAAUAAAUUUUCGGGAAAAAAAUAUCCUAUUAGGCAGAACACUAGUGUUUCUCUGAUAACAGUACCCGUUCCGCGUUUUACAAGAAUAAGGCGUCGUGACGACAACAAGCUCCCCCCUCCGGCCUGGCGUCACGCGGGAGAGGAAGGCUGCCGCCAUUACUACAAUUCAUCAUCCAUAUACAGAAAAAGCAGCAAUGGCAGCCUACAGACACCUGCUACGUAGAGUGGCUCACGUGGGACAAUGGGAAGACCUGGCCAUCAGGAGGAGAACCCGUUUGUUCAGGAGCCGUAGGGAUCCCUUUGAAAUGUACUCGGAAGAGGAGUUCACUCAACGCUUUCGGCUCUCCAAGCAAGUCACCCUGGAUCUCUUAUCAAAAAUCCAGCACCUAUUGCCAGAUUCUACCAGGAAAAGAGGGCUUCCAAUCCCACCACGUCUCCAGCUGCUGGU